GGUGAACGCUGGCGGCGUGCUUAAGACAUGCAAGUCGAACGGCAGUCUUCGGACUGUAGUGGCGCACGGGUGAGUAUCGCGUAACUGACCUACCCCAAAGUCGCGGAUAACGAUUCGAAAGAAUCGCUAAUACGUGAUGUGCUGUCAGAUUGUGUUCUGCCAGUAAAGAUUGAUUGCUUUGGGAUGGGGUUGCGUUCCAUCAGCUAGUUGGUGGGGUAAAGGCCCACCAAGGCGACGACGGAUAGCCGGCCUGAGAGGGUGGCCGGCUACAGGGGCACUGAGACACGGGUCCCACUCCUACGGGAGGCAGCAGUUAGGAAUCUUCCACAAUGGGCGAAAGCCUGAUGGAGCGACGCCGCGUGAGGGAUGAAGGUCUUCGGAUCGUAAACCUCUGGAUCAGGGACGAAAGACACUUCGGUGGGAUGACGGUACCUGAGUAAUAGCACCGGCUAACUCCGUGCCAGCCGCCGCCGUAAGAC
rnacentral:rRNA from 1 species